GCAGAGCCCGGGCUGGAGGGUGUUGCUAGGAGGGCUGCAAUGGGCCAAGGAUUUUUUUUGGCGCGUCACUUGAAGUGACAGAAGACGUAAGAGGUAGGGCUGUCGUAGGCUCGGCGUCUCUGGUGCUGCUGGCCCAGGCACCUCGGGUUCUGCCCGUAGCCUUAGGUGAGCGAAGGCCGAGCAACGGGGAGUAAUUGCUGGGCGCAGGUAGCUUGAGUCCAGCGCUCUCACCCCGACGCCCGCCCAAUGGCUCUGCUCCAGCCUGGGAUUCUGACCCGGGCCCGAGCCUGGGAUGGCUGGUGGGUGGGAGACCAGAGAGCAGCAGAAAUGUGCUUUCCAGCCCUAGUGCGGUUUGUCCCGGGUUAACGGAGGAGUGAGAUGAGAGUAUCACUCCUAACAGUCGAGCAGGCUAACAAAACAAUAACAAAUAAGCCAGGGAACCACUGGGCUAAUUACAUCGGGAGAAUGGCGACUGCUCUAAGGGUGAGAGACAAGAGAGAUCUCUUCAUAGUGAUGAAAACAAACAAACAAACAACAACAAUAAAACCAAAAAAGACAGCCCGGCAUCCCAGCCAGAACUCCUGGAGAUAAGUUCCGACUCCUCUCAGGGAGCCGUUUUCUUUAAGAAGGCAUAAGAAGCCAUCUUGGCUAUCAGGAUUAAAAUAAGGAUUACCAACGUGACAGUAAUCAUAAGGUGGAGAAGACCUGGAACCUCCUGAGAAUGGAGACGCCUGUGUCACAGAUAACAGGUUUACACUAAAGUGGAGCAGCCACGGGCUGCUCCCUUUUAGUGGGCAAUGGGACUCUUUCAACAGAAUAUCAAGCAGAGGUGUCUGAUUGGCUUGUUCCAUCAUCAUAAUUCUCUCUAACUAUGGGAAGCAUUUGGUUGUCUCUGUUAUAGGAAACCUUAUGUCUACUUCACUCAAUGCUUGUAACUUCGUUCCAAUAAGAGACUGAGCUAACUUGUGUUAUGGCUCCAUAAGCACUUCCACCGAGCCUGACAGAUGACAGAGAUUCCCAGAAACCACGUGGAAAAAAGAACCAACUCCAGCAAGUUGUUCCCUGGCCUCUCUGCCCAUGCACCUUGACAUAUUUGUGCACACAAGAACACAAAAUACUUGUAAUAAAACAUGUUUUAAAGAUGACAGCCA
rnacentral:lncRNA from 1 species